rnacentral:rRNA from 1 species
UACGUAGGGAGCAAGCGUUGUCCGGAAUCAUUGGCCGUAAAGCGCGCGUAGGCGGCCCUGUAAGUCCGUUGUGAAAGUCAAAGGCUCAACCUUUGAAAGCCGAUGGAUACUGCAGGGCUAGAGUCCGGAAGAGGCGAGUGGAAUUCCUGGUGUAGCGGUGGAAUGCGCAGAUAUCAGGAGGAACACCAAUAGCGAAGGCAGCUCGCUGGGACGGUACUGACGCUAAGGCGCGAAAGCGUGGGGAGCGAACAGG